rnacentral:tmRNA from 1 species
CUGGGGUUAAAUAGAAGAGCUUAAUCAGACUAGCUGAAUGGAAGCCUGUUACCGGGCCGAUGUUUAUGCGAAAUGCUAAUACGGUGACUACGCUCGUAGAUAUUUAAGUGCCGAUAUUUCUGGACGUGGGUUCGACUCCCACCAUCUCCAUAU